UACGAAGGGGGCGAGCGUUGUUCGGAAUUACUGGGCGUAAAGCGCGCGUAGGCGGCUUUGUAAGUUAGAGGUGAAAGCCCGGGGCUCAACCCCGGAACAGCCUUUAAGACUGCAUCGCUAGAAUCCGGGAGAGGUGAGUGGAAUUCCGAGUGUAGAGGUGAAAUUCGUAGAUAUUCGGAAGAACACCAGUGGCGAAGGCGGCUCACUGGACCGGCAUUGACGCUGAGGUGCGAAAGCGUGGGGAGCAAACAGG
rnacentral:rRNA from 1 species